GACGAACGCUGGCGGCGUGCCUAAUACAUGCAAGUAGAACGCACAGUUUAUACCGUAGCUUGCUACACCAUAGACUGUGAGUUGCGAACGGGUGAGUAACGCGUAGGUAACCUGCCUGGUAGCGGGGGAUAACUAUUGGAAACGAUAGCUAAUACCGCAUAAUAUUGAUUAUUGCAUGAUAAUUGAUUGAAAGAUGCUAUUGCAUCACUACCAGAUGGACCUGCGUUGUAUUAGCUAGUAGGUGAGGUAACGGCUCACCUAGGCGACGAUACAUAGCCGACCUGAGAGGGUGAUCGGCCACACUGGGACUGAGACACGGCCCAGACUCCUACGGGAGGCAGCAGUAGGGAAUCUUCGGCAAUGGACGAAAGUCUGACCGAGCAACGCCGCGUGAGUGAAGAAGGUUUUCGGAUCGUAAAGCUCUGUUGUAAGAGAAGAACGGGUGUGAGAGUGGAAAGUUCACACUGUGACGGUAUCUUACCAGAAAGGGACGGCUAACUACGCG
rnacentral:rRNA from 1 species